rnacentral:rRNA from 1 species
GACGAACGCUGGCGGCGUGCUUAACACAUGCAAGUCGAGCGGUAAGGCCCUUUCGGGGGUACACGAGCGGCGAACGGGUGAGUAACACGUGGGUGACCUGCCCUUACGCUCUGGGAUAAGCCUGGGAAACUGGGUCUAAUACCGGAUAUGACUCCAUGACGCAUGUUGUGGGGUGGAAAGCCUUGUGCGGCUAGGGAUGGGCCUGCGGCCUAUCAGCUUGUUGGUGGGGUGAUGGCCUACCAAGGCGACGACGGGUAGCCGGCCUGAGAGGGCGACCGGCCACACUGGGACUGAGACACGGCCCAGACUCCUACGGGAGGCAGCAGUGGGGGAAUCUUGCGCAAUGGGCGAAAGCCUGACGCAGCGACGCCGCGUGGGGA